rnacentral:rRNA from 1 species
GUGCCAGCAGCCGCGGUAAGACGAGGGGUGCGAGCGUUAUUCGGAAUUAUUGGGCGUAAAGGGUGUGUAGACGGUAUGCUAAGUCUGUUGUUAAAUCUCCCGGCUCAACCGGGAAUCAGCAGUGGAUACUGGUGUACUAGAGGGUGGAAGAGAGAAGUGGAAUUCUCGGAGUAGCGGUAAAAUGCGUAGAUCUCGAGAGGAACACCAAUGGCGAAGGCAGCUUCUUGGUCCAUUUCUGACGUUGAAACACGAAAGCGUGGGGAGCAAACAGGAUUAGAUACCCUGGUAGUCCACGCCGUAAACGAUGAUCACUAGACGUCAGUUUCGCUCUGCGGAAUUGGUGUCGUAGCUAACGCGUUAAGUGAUCCGCCUGGGGAUUACGGUCGCAAGACUAAA